GGCGUGGUAGCUCAGCCGGUUAGAGCGAACGACUCAUAAUCGUUAGGUCGGUGGUUCAAGUCCACCUCACGCCACCA
rnacentral:tRNA from 1 species